rnacentral:rRNA from 1 species
UACAGAGGUCUCAAGCGUUGUUCGGAUUCAUUGGGCGUAAAGGGUGCGUAGGUGGCGCGGUAAGUCGGGUGUGAAAUCUCGGAGCUUAACUCCGAAACUGCAUUCGAUACUGCCGUGCUUGAGGACUGGAGAGGAGACUGGAAUUUACGGUGUAGCGGUGAAAUGCGUAGAUAUCAGGAGGAACACCGGUGGCGAAGGCGGGUCUCUGGGCAACAACUGACGCUGAGGAGCGAAAGCGUGGGGAGCGAACAGG